CCUACGGGAGGCAGCAGUGGGGAAUAUUGCACAAUGGGGGAAACCCUGAUGCAGCGACGCCGCGUGAGUGAAGAAGUAUUUCGGUAUGUAAAGCUCUAUCAGCAGGGAAGAAAAUGACGGUACCUGUUUAAGAAGCCCCGGCUAACUACGUGCCAGCAGCCGCGGUAAUACGUAGGGGGCAAGCGUUAUCCGGAUUUACUGGGUGUAAAGGGAGCGUAGACGGCAGCACAAGUCUGGAGUGAAAUGCCGGGGCUUAACCCCGGAACUGCUUUGGAAACUGUGCAGCUAGAGUGCAGGAGAGGUAAGUGGAAUUCCUGGUGUAGCGGUGAAAUGCGUAGAGAUUAGGAGGAACACUAGUGGCGAAGGCGGCUUACUGGACUGUAACUGACGUUGAGGCUCGAAAGCGUGGGGAGCAAACAGGAUUAGAUACCCUGGUAGUC
rnacentral:rRNA from 1 species